rnacentral:rRNA from 1 species
AUCAUCGAAUCUUUGAACGCACAUUGCGCCCCCUGGUAUUCCGGGGGGCAUGCCUGUUCGAGCGUCAUUU